GACGAACGCUGGCGGCGUGCUUAACACAUGCAAGUCGAACGGAAAGGCCCCUUUGGGGGUACUCGAGUGGCGAACGGGUGAGUAACACGUGAGUAACCUGCCCUUGACUUCGGGAUAACUUCAGGAAACUGGGGCUAAUACCGGAUAGGAAUCCUUGCUGCAUGGUGGGGGUUGGAAAGCUUCGGCGGUUUUGGAUGGACUCGCGGCUUAUCAGCUUGUUGGUGGGGUAGUGGCUUACCAAGGCUUUGACGGGUAGCCGGCCUGAGAGGGCGACCGGCCACAUUGGGACUGAGAUACGGCCCAGACUCCUACGGGAGGCAGCAGUGGGGAAUAUUGCACAAUGGGCGGAAGCCUGAUGCAGCAACGCCGCGUGCGGGAUGACGGCCUCCGGGUUGUAAACCGCUUUCAGCAGGGGCGAAGCUUUUGUGACGGUACCUGCAGAAGAAGCACCGGCUAACUACGUG
rnacentral:rRNA from 1 species